AGAGGACGACCAGCCACACUGGAACUGAGACAUGGUCCAGACACCUACGGGUGGCAGCAGUCGAGAAUUUUUCUCAAUGGGGGAAACCCUGAAGGAGCGACGCCGCGUGAAGAUGAAGGUCUUCGGAUUGUAAACUUCUGUCAUUAGGGAACAAAUCUUCCAGUUAACUGCUGGAAGUCUGAUAGUACCUGAAGAGGAAGAGACGGCUAACUCUGUGCCAGCAGCCGCGGUAAUACAGAGGUCUCAACCGUUGUUCGGAUUCAUUGGGCGUAAAGGGUGCGUAGGCGGCGGAGUAAGUCAGGUGUGAAAUCUCGGGGCUCAACCCCGAAACUGCACUUGAUACUGCUUUGCUAGAGUAUUGGAGAGGAGAUUGGAAUUUACGGUGUAGCAGUGAAAUGCGUAGAUAUCGUAAGGAAGACCAGUGGCGAAGGCGAAUCUCUGGACAAUUACUGACGCUGAGGCACGAAGGCCAGGGGAGCAAACGGGAUUAGAUACCCCGGUAGUCCUGGCAGUAAACGGUGCACGUUUGGUGUGGGAGGAUUCGACCCCUUCCGUGCCGGAGCUAACGCGUUAAACGUGCCGCCUGGGAAGUACGGUCGCAAGAUUAAAACUCAAAGAAAUUGACGGGGGCCCGCACAAGCGGUGGAGUAUGUGGCUUAAUUCGAUCCACGCGAAGAACCUUACCAGGGUUUGACAUGCAUCUCUAAGGCGGUGAAAGCCGCCGAGUGUAGCAAUACACAAUUUGCACAGGUGCUGCAUGGCUGUCGUCAGCUCGUGUCGUGAGAUGUUGGGUUAAGUCCCGCAACGAGCGCAACCCCUGUGUCCUGUUGCCACCCCUUAACUGGGAGCACUCUGGACAGACUGCCCUGUGAAACGGGGAGGAAGGUGGGGAUGACGUCAAGUCAGCAUGGCCCUUACACCCUGGGCUGCACACGUACUACAAUGCUCAGUACAGAACGAGCCGAAGCCGCGAGGCGGAGGUAAUCCCAAAAACUGAGCCCAAUUCGGAUUGCAGGCUGCAACUCGCCUGCAUGAAGCUGGAAUCGCUAGUAAUGCCGUAUCAGCUACGACGGCGUGAAUACGUUCCCGGGCCUUGUACACACCGCCCGUCACAUCAUGGAAGUCAUUUGUACCCGAAGUAGGUGCGAUAACCGCAAGGAGUCAGCCUCCUAAGGUAUGAGUGGUAACUGGGAUGAAGUCGGAACAAGGUA
rnacentral:rRNA from 1 species